CGUAUCCCCACGACCCACGAAUCCAGAGGCUUCCUCCUGCCAUUAUCUCAACCUUGAUAGAGAACCCCAGAAAUCUGCAAAGGGUCCCCCUUGAGCAUUUAGCCGAGUACUGAUCAAUGGAUGUAUAUGGACAAACUACUCAAGACAAAGGAAAGAACCAGGCAAAAGGGUUAGAGAAAGCAUCUCUCACACAGGGCCAAUAAGAGUGCCUGUUCCCAUCACCCACAUUGGAGAAAUUCAAAACUCACUGGGCGUGACGUAGAGGACGGAAGAAGAUCUUGCCUCAGUGGUAGGAAAUAAUUAGCCCUACACUAGCACUGCUCAGACCCACCUAACAAUCUAAAAAGCAAGCUCUGAAAGGAUCUACGCAUUUCUAAGGAUCUACAGUUUCUAACGCCUCCCAGAGCGAAACUCCAGGAGAUUUACAGGAAUACGAAAAUAUCCAUUGUCGCUUUGCUUUGUAUACUGGUUUUGAAAAUCUGACGCUAGCCUAAUUCAUUUGUC
rnacentral:lncRNA from 1 species